UUUUCUUUUUUUUCUCUUUCUCUUCUCUUUCUCCUCUCCUCUCUCUCACACAAAAAAAGAAGAUGGAUGAUGAAGAAUAUCCAAACAAAGAAACAGAGGAACUUUUUGAAGGUGUUGAGAAAGGGGAUGAAGAAGUUGUGAAAGUUCUUCUUCUUGG
rnacentral:ribozyme from 13 species